UUUUCAACUAUAGCAUUAUUUU
rnacentral:miRNA from 1 species